rnacentral:rRNA from 1 species
UACGUAGGCGGAAAAUUAAGUCAGUAGUGAAAUCCUGCAGCUUAACUGUAGAACUGUUAUUGGUACUGGUUUUCUUGAAUAUAGUUGAGGUAGGCGGAAUGUGUAAUGUAGCGGUGAAAUGCUUAGAUAUUACACAGAACACCGAUUGCGAAGGCAGCUUACUAAGCUAUGAUUGACGCUGAGGUACGAAAGCGUGGGGAGCGAACAGGAUUAGAUACCCUGGUAGUCC